rnacentral:rRNA from 1 species
CCUACGGGAGGCAGCAGUGGGGAAUAUUGCACAAUGGGGGAAACCCUGAUGCAGCGACGCCGCGUGAGUGAAGAAGUAUUUCGGUAUGUAAAGCUCUAUCAGCAGGGAAGAAAAUGACGGUACCAGAUUAAGAAGCCCCGGCUAACUACGGGCCAGCAGCCGCGGGAAUACGUAGGGGGCAAGCGGUAUCCGGAUUUACUGGGUGUAAAGGGAGCGUAGACGGCAGCACAAGUCUGGAGUGAAAUGCCGGGGCUUAACCCCGGAACUGCUUUGGAAACUGUGCAGCUAGAGUGCAGGAGAGGUAAGUGGAAUUCCUGGUGUAGCGGUGAAAUGCGUAGAUAUUAGGAGGAACACCAGUGGCGAAGGCGGCUUACUGGACUGUAACUGACGUUGAGGCUCGAAAGCGUGGGGAGCAAACAGGAUUAGAUACCCCAGUAGUC